CCUACGGGUGGCAGCAGUGAGGAAUAUUGGUCAAUGGGCGUAAGCCUGAACCAGCCAAGUAGCGUGCAGGAUGACGGCCCUAUGGGUUGUAAACUGCUUUUAUGUGGGAAUAAAGUCACUCACGUGUGAGUGUUUGCAGGUACCGCAUGAAUAAGGACCGGCUAAUUCCGUGCCAGCAGCCGCGGUAAUACGGAAGGUUCGGGCGUUAUCCGGAUUUAUUGGGUUUAAAGGGAGCGUAGGCCGCCGCUUAAGCGUGCUGUGAAAUGUACCGGCUCAACCGGGGACGUGCAGCGCGUACUGGGUGGCUUGAGUUCGCGGUAGGCAGGCGGAAUUCGUGGUGUAGCGGGGAAAUGCUUAGAUAGCACGAAGAACUCCGAUUGCGAAGGCAGCCUGCCGUAGCGUUACUGACGCUGAGGCUCGAAAGUGCGGGUAUCGAACAGGAGUAGAUACCCUGGUAGUC
rnacentral:rRNA from 1 species